UCUUUUCCUAGCGGAAAUGCCGCCGGUAGGUACAUGGCCUCCACUGAAAAGUAAUCGGAGAAUUUCAAUUUGACCAGAGAAAUUACCGACGGAAUUAAUCCCUCGGUAUUUUCUAAAAAUAUAUUUUUCUUUUUCAUUUUUUUUGAUAUUCCUAGUUAUCGACUACCUAUACAAUUACAACCAACACACUCUCAAAAUUCAACAAUUCAGAUUUUAAUAGAUCAUUCAAUCUAGACUAAAAUCAAUACAUGAACAUAACAAGUAUUUUACAAAGUUCAAACAUAUAAAUAUCUUACAAAGCUCCAACACAUAAAUAAAAUACAGAGUUUAAAAGUAUCACCGUCUAUUACAUUCAUCCACGAAAAUUAGAGAGGUGGUGGGAGAGGGGUGGAAGGCUACACCGUGCACAAAACUACACAAGAAACUCAUGUUGAGCAAGUAGGUGAGCUUUUGUACGCCCUGAUUCCUCUUUCAUUCACUCAAACUCUUGCCUGCACUCCUCUCGCUCCUGGUACAACUCAUCCUGCAGACCUACGAAACGCUGAUCAUAAGACGUGGAGUGAAAUUGAGAUGAUCCGCUCGAACCAUCAAUUACUAUACAUUUUUCUUGUAGUGCAUUAUAUUAAAUCACGAUGCACAAUUUCUGUCAGCCAGAUUAAAAAAUCUGACUUCUAGAUCAUUACAUCAUCAGACCAAGCGGUACAAUUCGAUAAACAAUGAGUGGCGCAAUUUGCCUCUCGCCAAACAUGACAAAACUCGAUAACAACACUCUCUUUAAUUUGCACAAAGGCCUCGUAUAACUCAUCGCACAAAGAAUCCAUACCAUUAUACCCUUACGACAUACUUGCCACGUAAAUUCUCUCUGACCAGUGAAUUUGAGACCAAGACAGAGACAAAAUUUCCGUCGCUAUGAAUUUAAAUUAUUUUUGUAUUUUUUUAGUAAUUUUGCAACAGAAUUUUUCCAUCAUUACUUUUAAAAUUUAUUUUUAUAAUUUUUAAAUUACACGUUGAGACGGAUUCUAUCCGUUGUUAGAUUUUAAAGAUGGAAAUUUCUCUUAGAAAUCGUCGUAAAAUACCACCUUUAUCGAAUUCAAAUUUCCAUCGUAAGUCUGUCAUAAUGAACGAUCCGUUUUAUUUUUCCGUCUCUAAUUCCGUCCAUAGUAACGUUUUUUUAUAAUGAGAUUUUUUAUAAUUCUAAAAGUUUAAUUGGGUGUAAUUAAUUAUACAUUUAUAAUAAUUAAAACCAUAGAUUUAUGAUUGAAAUUUAUUAAGAUUAUAUACCCUUUUGGAGAAAUUAGUUCCAAUAAUCAAUUAUUAAGUCAAAAAUGAAAAAAUAAAUAUAAAAAAAUUAUAAACUCUGGAGUGGAAUUAAUGAGCCCUAGUUAAUUAUUUUAAAAUUAUACUAAAUCAUAAUAUAUCCAAAGAUUCAAAAUUAGGAUGAUCCCAUGUGCUUACAAUAUAAAAGUUGCUACAUUUUUUACCAUACAUUAAUUGACGAUAGAUCUAUUCUUUCAUCAGUUAAAAUUCUCUAUUGUCUUUUAGCGUGACAUCUCAUAGUAUUAUAUUUGUGGAUUAUUGGCAUAUAUGACAAUAUUAAAGGUUCAGAAUUUAUGAUUUUAUAAAUAUAGAAAAUAUACACCCCAAUAUUCAGCAAUUUUAAACAUUUAAAAGCGUGUACUUUGCAUAAUUGGUAAGAUAUAUGAUUGCAUAUUUUUAUCCUUAAAAUUGUAUUUUCUUCAAUCUCACCUUGAGAUAUUAAAUAUUUAUUUAAAUAUUAAAAUAAAUUUCAACUGACCAAGUACCAAUUGAGAAGUGGCAUAAAAAAGUUAAAGGCUAACCUUGUGGUUGGGUAUUGGUGUGUGGGCUGCCGUAGGGCAUUAUCUUCUUUUUUUUCUUCAUUAAAUGAAACUCCAGUGGGGCUCUACCGUUGGGCUCGAGCCCUACCGCUAGCGUUGACGUUCUCCUAGCGCGCCUGGGCAGCUCGAGGCGAGCUCCAAAAUUAGAGUCAGACUUUAAG
rnacentral:lncRNA from 1 species